rnacentral:rRNA from 1 species
GCAGCCGCGGUAAUACGGAGGAUGCGAGCGUUAUCCGGAUUUAUUGGGUUUAAAGGGUGCGUAGGCGGGAUAUUAAGUCAGUGGUGAAAGUUUGCCGCUCAACGGUAAAAUUGCCAUUGAAACUGAUAUUCUUGAGUGCGUUAAAGGUAGGCGGAAUGUGUAGUGUAGCGGUGAAAUGCUUAGAUAUUACACAGAACACCGAUUGCGAAGGCAGCUUACUGGUGCGUAACUGACGCUGAGGCACGAAAGCGUGGGUAUCAAACAGGAUUAGAUACCCC